rfam:Picea glauca, whole genome shotgun sequence.
ACAUGCCUACAACAUAGCGUUAAUGCACCAGAUCCCAUUAGAACUCCAUAGUUAAGCGCACUCAGGAUAGAGUAGUACUGGGAUGGGUGACCGCCCAAUAAUUCCUAGUGUUUUACAUGCC